AGAAAUGACGCAUAUAAAGGGAACAAGGUCCCGCAUGCUGUUUGUAUAAAUAAGCACACUUGCAGACAUUUAUGCAUAUAUAUAUUCACGUGUUUGUAUUUUUCUGCUUUCUUAAAAUAUGUCUUGGUCUACAAGAGAAAAGGGCAUUGGUCCUAAAACUGGAAAGCCAUUGCACUACAAGGGUUCCUUUUUCCAUCGAGUCAUGAAAGGUUCCCUGGCCCAGGAAACAGGGCUGAUGGUCACGACUGCUUUUCUUGUGAUAUAGUUUUUAAGGGUGGUGAUUUUGGAAGAAGAGAUGGAACUAGUGGGGAAAUCAUAUAUGAUGG